rnacentral:rRNA from 1 species
AUGUUCCAGCUCAUCCUCAUAGUCGGAUUCCUCCUUGCCUCAUCCAUAGUAAUUGAGUUGCACAACUGGCGGUUGCUAUGUAUUUGGCUUCGGCGGUGGAGAGGGCAACACAAUUUUUUUGUCAAAUGUUUACAAGUGACUCUACCUUCCGAUAUGCCGGUGAGAAUUUUAUCAACUUGCUCCCCAUGGGAGCCAUUAAAUUCAUCAAACACCACGUCACAAGUUUCUACAACACAUCCAUUUGAUUUGUUUCCAUACUUUUUCCCACCAAGACUAUCCCAUGGAGGAUUACUAGAAUUGACCUUGUCAUUUGCUAAUCCCACCCUUAUCAAUGAUGUGAGGUUCCACCCCUGUGUCAGAUUCAGACCUUGGGAGUCCAAUCAGAUCCUAUCAUUUGUUCCUCCUGAUGGGCAGUUCAAGCUUAUGAGUUAUAGGGUUAAGAAACUGAAGACCACACCAAUUUAUGUGAAGCCACGGUUAUCAUCUGAUUCUGGGAAUUGCCGUGUCAAUGUGAUGGUGCGGAUACGGAAUGAUCCUGGAAAACCUAUUGAUUCUAUAACAACAUGUGUUUGGACAAUUGGGCAUAUUCCUAAAGAUAAAGCACCAUCCCUCUCUGGAAAUCUACGUCUGGAGGAAGGAUUCGCUCAUUUGCAUGCAUUUCCAACAUUUCAAGUGAAAUUCAGGAUUAUGGGGGUAGCACUGUCUGGGCUUCAAAUUGAUAAACUGGAAGUGAAAAAUACACCAAGCGCACCAUACAAAGGUUUUCGAGCCCAGACUCAAGCUGGAAGGUAUGAGGACAGGUCCUAG